rnacentral:lncRNA from 1 species
AUUGGGAGUUAUCUAGAAGAGCAUACUAAAAUAGGGUUCAAAGACGUCCUGAAUAGGUCACUGCUUUUUUGCUUGUUUAAUUGGAGGAAUGGGCAAACUUCAAGCUUUCUAUUGAAAGAUAAAAAAAAAAAGAGCCACUGGGAAAGGUCUCUACAAUCCGAUAGAAAUGUCCUAUUCUGUUCUUUCACCCCAAAUCUCACAAGAGUGGCUUAGAGCCCCUUGAAUGCUAGGGGAUUAAAGGUUGCUGAGUCACAUAGAUCUGUGGCCCAAGGCAGAUGUCCCCUCCCCUUUGUCUCUUUUCCCAAGCCUCAGAUGUCCUACCCAUGUACAUAUAAAGCAGGGGUAAGAUUGACUGGCAAGUAAGUCGUGGUUCAGUUGGGUUUUUGGUAACAUGCUUAUGCUGGAGGUGAAUGACUGACUGAGACUCCAUUUCGUUGUUUUUCAGGAACAGGUGAAUACAGAACUUCUUGGUUGGUCAUUGAGUUUAUCUUUUCAGUAGUCUGUGCUUUGAUGAGCUGAAUAUUUAAAGGUUGGAGACUGCCAUGAAGCCCUGCAGAAGAAAGAUCUGGAAGUGAGAGAGACACUUUCACUAUAUAUAGUGGCUCCCACUUCCAGAUCUUUCUCUCUGUAUAUAUAGUACUUAGAGAAAUCCAAC